GAUGAACGCUGACAGAAUGCUUAACACAUGCAAGUCAACUUGAACUUCGGUUUGGGUGGCGGACGGGUGAGUAACGCGUAAAGAACUUGCCUCACAGUUAGGGACAACAUUUGGAAACGAAUGCUAAUACCUGAUAUUAUGAUUUUAGGGCAUCCUAGAAUUAUGAAAGCUAUAUGCGCUGUGAGAGAGCUUUGCGUCCCAUUAGCUAGUUGGAGAGGUAACGGCUCACCAAGGCGAUGAUGGGUAGCCGGCCUGAGAGGGUGAACGGCCACAAGGGGACUGAGACACGGCCCUUACUCCUACGGGAGGCAGCAGUGGGGAAUAUUGGACAAUGGACCAAGAGUCUGAUCCAGCAAUUCUGUGUGCACGAUGAAGUUUUUCGGAAUGUAAAGUGCUUUCAGUUGGGAAGAAAAAAAUGACGGUACCAACAGAAGAAGUGACGGCUAAAUACGUGCCAGCAGCCGCGGUAAUACGUAUGUCACAAGCGUUAUCCGGGAUUUAUUGGGGCGUAAAGCGCGUCUAGGGGGGUUAUAUAAGUUUUGAUGUGAAAAAUGCAGGGGUUCAAACUCUGUAUUGCGUUGGGAAACUGUGUAAACUAGAGUACUGGGAGAGGGAAAGCGGAAACUACAGGUGUAGAGGUUAAAAUUUCGUAGAUAUUUGCAGGGAAUGCCCAUGGGAAAAGCCAGGCUUU
rnacentral:rRNA from 1 species